ensembl:miRNA Gm23989 predicted gene, 23989
AUGUAUGUAUGUGUGUAUGUAUGUAUGUGUGUAUGUAUGUAUGUGUGUAUGUAUGUAUGUAUGCAUGUAUGUAUGUAUG